CUUGACAUCCAGAGAAUUUAGCAGAGAUGCUUUAGUGCCUUCGGGAACUCUGAGACAGGUGCUGCAUGGCUGUCGUCAGCUCGUGUUGUGAAAUGUUGGGUUAAGUCCGCAACGAGCGCAACCCUUAUCCUUUGUUGCCAGCACGUAAUGGUGGGAACUCAAAGGAGACUGCCGGUGAUAAACCGGAGGAAGGUGGGGAUGACGUCAAGUCAUCAUGGCCCUUACGAGUAGGGCUACACACGUGCUACAAUGGCGCAUACAAAGAGAAGCGACCUCGCGAGAGCAAGCGGACCUCAUAAAGUGCGUCGUAGUCCGGAUUGGAGUCUGCAACUCGACUCCAUGAAGUCGGAAUCGCUAGUAAUCGUAAAUCAGAAUGUUACGGUGAAUACGUUCCCGGGCCUUGUACACACCGCCCGUCACACCAUGGGAGUGGGUUGCAAAAGAAGUAGAUAGCUUAACCUUCGGGAGGGCGUUUACCACUUUGUGGUUCAUGACUGGGGUGAAGUCGUAACAAGGUAAGCGUAGUGCU
rnacentral:rRNA from 1 species